AACUUUUGACAACGGAUCUCUUGGUUCUCCCAUCGAUGAAGAACGCAGCGAAAUGCGAUAAGUAAUGUGAAUUGCAGAAUUCAGUGAAUCAUCGAAUCUUUGAACGCACCUUGCGCUCCUUGGUAUUCCUUGGAGCAUGCCUGUUUGAGAGUCUUGAAUAUCUCUGCUUUUAUGUUUUUUUAUUAAGAUAUAACAAGUCAGGUCCUUGAGUCUGCUUGCGGUUUGUUACGAACACAAGCUUACUUUAAAUGAAUUAGCUGGAUUUCAGCAGAGUUGUUAAGUAAC
rnacentral:rRNA from 1 species